CCUACGGGAGACAGCAGUGAGGAAUAUUGGUCAAUGGGAGAGAUCCUGAACCAGCCAAGUCGCGUGAGGGAAGACGGCCCUAUGGGUUGUAAACCUCUUUUGUCGGAGAACAAAACCCGGUACGUGUCCCGGACUGCGUGUAUCCGUAGAACAAGCAUCGGCAAACUCCGUGCCAGCAGCCGCGGUAAUCCGGAGGAUGCGAGCGUUAUCCGGAUUUAUGGGGUUAAAGGGGUGCGUAGGCGGUGCGUUAAGUUAGCGGUAAAAUUGCGGGGCUCAACCCCGUCGAGCCGGUGAAACUGGGAGACUUGAGUGGGCGAGAAGUAAGCGGAAUGCGCGGUGUAGCGGUGAAAUGCAUAGAUAUCGCGCAGAACUCCGAUUGCGAAGGCAGCGUACCGGAGCCAGACUGACGCUGAGGCACGAAAGCGUGGGGAUCGAACAGGAUUAGAUACCCCAGUAGUC
rnacentral:rRNA from 1 species